UGUGUAGCUGUUAAUAACAACUGCUUUGCUUUGCUAUGAUUCGACUUCAAGGCGCGUUAACGAAAGAUGUUUUCGAAGGCCGAGAACACUUUUUAUGGUAAAAACAGCGAUAAAAGCGGAGUGGAUUCUAGUGCAGAGUGACAAAGAAGUGAUCUUUGGAUCCUUUCAAGUAAUAACAGUAGUGAUGCUUACUGCCUAUUUUCACUGUGCUCAGAACUCUCCCGAGAACACUUUUGACAAGGUGACUCAUAAUAUGUCCGGGACUCAGGUGGCGUUUCCAUCACCAUGGACACCUGACCAGGUCUGUGAACGACGCAUUUCAAGUCUCAGCAGAAGCCCUCCUAUGAUGCAAUUCGCUCCUUAGAUGAAGCUUUGAACCGCAUUUCUUCCUCCGCCACCUGUCGGGGUGAGGGUGGCGAUGUGGCGCCGGACCCCCCUUCCUUAUCAGAGGAAGAAAUUGGCACGUGCGAGGUCAAGGCACCUGCCCGAAGUCACCCAGCCAGAACUUCGCGCUCAGCCUGUACCACGACCACUUUGGCCUGGAAACAGGCUAUUUGGAGCCCCCGUGCCAUGCUCAUGCCCACCUCCCUGGCAGGGCUUGUCCAGCCUUUCAGCUUGAGUGAUCCUUGUCAAGGUCAAGUCACCUUGUCUCAGAGUCUCUCCAACCAACAGGGAGGGGCUGAGCUUUCAUAUCUGUGUCUGCCCUAUCGCACCUCACGAACUCCCCUCAUGGUAUGGGGCACACAGUGCCAGCCAACAUCAAAUCACCCACGGAGCUGGGAGCCCUGGAGGUCAGAGACUCCUCGUGCUCUCAGAGGCUCCUUGCCUGCCCUUGGUGGAGACGCCGGGGUGAGUGCAGCUCCCUCUCUGCCCACUGCACGGAGGCUUUCUCCUUUUCUGCUGAAUCGGGGUGUGACUCCCGUAGCUCAUCACCCAGACUUUUUCCAUCAUCCCCUGCACCCAUGUACCCUCCCGUCUCACAUGCACUGGACGCUGGCUCCCCGAGCACAACCCUCUGAUCAGACAAUGGCUGGUCCAUUGACAUUAUCCCUUUCAGCGGAGACUUAAAAGAGGUUGGAGGAAAAAGGAGCUGCAUCAAGAUAUUUACGAGGUUUCGAAGCCUGGCUUACGGCGGGUCUCGCGAUGCGGCACUUUGGUUAGGACUGGGGGAAGAACGGGUCCCGAUGUCACAGUUCAGGAUUGGCGGACACAGCACGGGGAAGGCUCUGAAGUGUCAUGGGCGUAAACUAUGAUUCAACAGUAGAGGAGUGUGAUGUUCUUUAAUAUGGCUUUUCCAGGAAGUUUCUGAUAAUGAAGAUAUUUAUAACUAUUUUCUUCCUGGGCAAGGAUCUUCUGGAAUAGUAAAGUCUCAUUAAUGUAGCUGGUAGACUGUGUGGGACUGAUGGUUUCAACUGUCACACGUGUGGUCUCAUGUCACCACCUCAUAUUGGAUUCCAUAGAGAGGCCACCCCUCUGGCACUUCCAAGCCACCCAAAGGACACUGGGCUUAAAGGGGUAAAGAAAAACCUAGAUUCUGGCCUCAACACUGUUUCUCUCUCAUUCUGAGACCUUGAUGAAUCACUGGCCCUCUCUGGCCCUCCGUUUUUCCCUCCGUCCAACGGGGCUUUGGGGUAAGUCUUCACUCCAUCCCACGACUCUAUGACUAAGUUUAUGUGCCUGAAGUUGAGGCUUUGGGUAGUGAAAUGACUUCCUAACGGAGACAGGAAAGAGGAGGCGGGGAGGGCAUUAGAGAGAGCAGGGGGAAGUGGGGAGACAGAAGGGGCAGCUGUGGAAGGCUCCAGAACAGCAAGGUUCCUUUAUUCAGGUCUGGGGUUUUUAAGUGUUUUAUCUCGUAGAAAUGCAUACGGCAUUUACAAAUUGGAAAUAACUCUGUAAACUCAGAUAAGAUGGUCCCACUAAUAUUGUCGCCAGAAACAGCUCACCAUGGCUUCUUUUCAAUUAACCAUUUAAAUCACAGCCCAUACAAACCCCAACCCCUGCUGCCUUAGAAUAAAAAAGAAAGUUAGACCAGAGACGACGCGUUUUGAUUCAUGCUGCUGAAUGUGGAAAAUACACAAGCUUUUUUCUUGGAGCCUAUAGUCUAAUGUAGCUCUUUGAAAGAACAUUCCUUCAGCUGCUGGCAGAGAUAUCCGCCACCCCCCUUCCUCCAGAGCUGAAUGGUGAUUCAUUAUAGAUAACCCCUCCUGAUUAAUGUUGUUUUGACUUUAACUUUGACAUUAAAAAAAAAAAAUAAAAGCUGUAAUCGGUAAAA